UGCCAGCCGCCGCGGUAAUACGGAGGGAGCUAGCGUUGUUCGGAAUUACUGGGCGUAAAGGGCGCGUAGGCGGCCUGAUAAGUCGGAUGUGAAAGCCCUGGGCUUAACCUGGGAAUUGCAUUCGAUACUGCCAAGCUAGAGUAUGGUAGAGGAAAGCGGAAUUCCGGGUGUAGCGGUGAAAUGCGUAGAUAUCCGGAGGAACAUCAGUGGCGAAGGCGGCUUUCUGGACCAAUACUGACGCUGAGGCGCGAAAGCGUGGGGAGCAAACAGGAUUAGAUA
rnacentral:rRNA from 1 species